rnacentral:rRNA from 1 species
CGUAGGGGGCUAGCGUUGUCCGGAUUUAUUGGGCGUAAAGAGCGUGUAGGCGGCCGGAUAGGUCUGCUGUGAAAACUCGAGGCUCAACCUCGAGCUGUCGGCGGAAACCAUCCGGCUAGAGUCCGGAAGAGGAGAGUGGAAUUCCCGGUGUAGCGGUGAAAUGCGCAGAUAUCGGGAAGAACACCUGUGGCGAAGGCGGCUCUCUGGGACGGUACUGACGCUGAGACGCGAAAGCGUGGGGAGCAAACAGGAUUAGAUACCCUGGUAGUCCACGCCGUAAACGAUGGGUGCUAGGUGUGGGGAGUGUCGACUCUCUCCGUGCCGAAGCUAACGCAUUAAGCACCCCGCCUGGGGAGUACGGCCGCAAGGCUA